rnacentral:misc_RNA from 1 species
CGCAUGUGUCAGGUGCAGCGUGUG